GCCAAUGUGGUGUAGUGGGUUGAGUGCUAGACUCUGAAUGUGGGGACCAGGGUUCGAAUCUCCGUUCAGCCA